UACGUAGGGGGCAAGCGUUAUCCGGAAUUACUGGGUGUAAAGGGUGCGUAGGUGGUAUGGCAAGUCAGAAGUGAAAACCCAGGGCUUAACUCUGGGACUGCUUUUGAAACUGUCAGACUGGAGUGCAGGAGAGGUAAGCGGAAUUUCUAGUGUAGCGGUGAAAUGCGUAGAUAUUAGGAGGAACAUCAGUGGCGAAGGCGGCUUACUGGACUGAAACUGACACUGAGGCACGAAAGCGUGGGGAGCAAACAGG
rnacentral:rRNA from 1 species